AACGAACGCUGGCGGCAGGCCUAACACAUGCAAGUCGAACGUGAAGCCACCUUCGGGUGGUGGAAAGUGGCAGACGGGUGAGUAACGCGUGGGAACGUGCCUUUCGGUUCGGGAUAACCCAGGGAAACUUGGGCUAAUACCGGAUACGCCCUCCGGGGGAAAGAUUCAUUGCCGAAAGAUCGGCCCGCGUCGGAUUAGCUAGUUGGUGGGGUAAAAGCCUACCAAGGCGACGAUCCGUAGCUGGUCUGAGAGGAUGACCAGCCACACUGGGACUGAGACACGGCCCAGACUCCUACGGGAGGCAGCAGUGCGAAUAUUGGACAAUGGGCGCAAGCCUGACCCAGCCAUGCCGCGUGGGUGAAGAAGGCCCUAGGGUUGUAAACCCCUUUCAGCGGGGAAGAUAAUGACGGUACCCGCAGAAGAAGCCCCGGCUAACUCCGUGCCAGCAGCCGCGGUAAAAC
rnacentral:rRNA from 1 species